rnacentral:rRNA from 1 species
UACGUAGGGUGCAAGCGUUGUCCGGAAUUAUUGGGCGUAAAGAGCACGUAGGCGGUCUGUCGCGUCGGCUGUGAAAACCCGGAGCUCAACUCCGGGCCUGCAGUCGAUACGGGCAAACUGGAGUGUUGCAGGGGAGACUGGAAUUCCUGGUGUAGCGGUGAAAUGCGCAGAUAUCAGGAGGAACACCGGUGGCGAAGGCGGGUCUCUGGGCAACAACUGACGCUGAGGAGCGAAAGCGUGGGGAGCGAACAGG